GACAGAGGAGCCAAGCGUUGUCCGGAUUGACUGGGCGUAAAGCGCACGCAGGCGGGUGCGCGCGUGGGGGGUGAAAACCUGGCCGCUUAACGGCCAGCGGCCAUCCCAUACGGCGCGCCUGGAGCCUUGCAGAGGGCGGUGGAAUUGCCGGUGUAGUGGUGAAAUGCGUAGAGAUCGGGAAGAACAUCGGUGGCGAAAGCGCUCUACUGGACCGCAACUGACACUCAGGGACGAAAGCUAGGGGAGCGAAUGGG
rnacentral:rRNA from 1 species